UACGUAGGGUGCGAGCGUUAAUCGGAUUUACUGGGCGUAAAGCGCGCGUAGGCGGUGCGGUAAGUCAGGGGUUAAAGGCUGCAGCUCAACUGCAGUAAGGCCUUUGAUACUAUCGUGCUAGAGUGCCGGAGAGGGUAGCGGAAUUCCCUGUGUAGCGGUGAAAUGCGUAGAUAUAGGGAGGAACACCGGUUGCGAAGGCGGCUACCUGGCCGGUAACUGACGCUGAGGUGCGAGAGCGUGGGGAGCAAACAGG
rnacentral:rRNA from 1 species